UACGUAGGGUGCAAGCGUUGUCCGGAAUUAUUGGGCGUAAAGAGCUCGUAGGCGGUCUGUCGCGUCGGCUGUGAAAUCCCGAGGCUCAACCUCGGGUCUGCAGUCGAUACGGGCAAACUAGAGUAUUGCAGGGGAGACUGGAAUUCCUGGUGUAGCGGUGAAAUGCGUAGAGAUCCGGAGGAACACCAGUGGCGAAGGCGACACGCUGGGUCAUACCUGACACUAAAACGCGACAGCAUGGGGAGCGAACGGG
rnacentral:rRNA from 1 species